rnacentral:rRNA from 1 species
GACCGUGCAAAGGUAGCGUAAUCAUUUGCCUUAUAAUUGAAGGCUAGUAUGAAUGGUCUGACGAGAAUUAAGCUGUCUCUCUUCAAUUAAAUAUAAUUUUAUUUAUGGGUGAAGAAGCCCAUAUAAAACUGAAAGACAAGAAGACCCUGUCGAGCUUUAAAUAAUUUUAAAGAUUAGUACUAUAUUCAUAAAAAACUAGGCUUUUAAAGAUUUUAGUUGGGGCGACUGAGGAACAAAAAAAGCUUCCUUUUAUUAUAAAAAACCGGCGAGUAUUGAUCCAUUUAUUUUGAUUAAAGGAUUUAGCUACCGCAGGGAUAACAGCAUAAUCUUUCUUGAGAGUUCUUAUCGAAAGAGGGGUUUGUGACCUCGAUGUUGGACCAGAAUGCCCAGAAGAUGCAGCCGUCUUCAAAGGUUGGUCUGUUCGACCAUUAAAAUUCUACGUGAUCUGAGUUCAGACCGGCGUGAGCCAGGUCAGUUUCUAUCUUCAGGUGCUAAAAUAACUUUAGUACGAAAGGACCAAGUUAUUAUAAUAAUUUAUUUUAUACAGAUUAAAUAUAAAGAGCUAUUAAACAUGUAGGGAUCAGAUUAGCAAAGAUUAAUGCAAUUGACUUAGGAUCAAUAGACAUAGGUGAAAUCCCUUUAUUUGAUAUUAUUUUUAAGUAUAAAGAUGGCAGAAGAA